UGCUCACCUCUCUUUCUGUCAGUUGCCUAUCUCUGCCUGCUUGACCUCUCUCUCUCUCUCUCUCUCUCAAAUU
rnacentral:sRNA from 1 species